GGCGAGUGAAGCGGCAAGAGCUCAGAUUUGAAAUCGUGCUUUGCGGCACGAGUUGUAGAUUGCAGGUUGGAGUCUGUGUGGAAGGCGGUGUCCAAGUCCCUUGGAACAGGGCGCCCAGGAGGGUGAGAGCCCCGUGGGAUGCCGGCGGAAGCAGUGAGGCCCUUCUGACGAGUCGAGUUGUUUGGGAAUGCAGCUCCAAGCGGGUGGUAAAUUCCAUCUAAGGCUAAAUACUGGCGAGAGACCGAUAGCGAACAAGUACUGUGAAGGAAAGAUGAAAAGCACUUUGAAAAGAGAGUGAAACAGCACGUGAAAUUGUUGAAAGGGAAGGGUAUUGCGCCCGACAUGGGGAUUGCGCACCGCUGCCUCUCGUGGGCGGCGCUCUGGGCUUUCCCUGGGCCAGCAUCGGUUCUUGCUGCAGGAGAAGGGGUUCUGGAACGUGGCUCUUCGGAGUGUUAUAGCCAGGGCCAGAUGCUGCGUGCGGGGACCGAGGACUGCGGCCGUGU
rnacentral:rRNA from 1 species